AUGGCUCCCGAGUGUUUACUCAGGAGUGAGCUGCUGAGGAACCUCUGGGACCCUCAGGCGAGUCGGGCAGCGGCCCUCAGCCUGUGGUCGAGAUCCCUUUGGGGCUUCACAGCAGGGGCUACGGGGUCCUCACGAUCUUCUUCAAGGAUCAGCCUGGAAGACCCACCAAGAGGCAGCAGCGGUUUGCCCAGUGGAGACCCCACCGUGCUCUCCUCCCAGGAAGUGGGGCCAGGUCUGAGGUGUGGCCCUCUGCCCCCCCAGGCCAUUGGUGACCCCAACCUCCUCCUCCUCCACCACCCUCCCCCUGGCAGCAGGAAGGCGGGCCUGCUAUCUGCGCUCUCAUCUAACUACCCCCAGAGUGACCCACGUGGCUCGAACCCUCCACAGUUCCUCAUUUCCCACUUCCCCUAAUUGAGGAGAAGCUUCCUAUGAACCCAAGAUGGCAUUUAGGGAUAAGCAGACCAGCAGCUAAACACCAGGUAAGAGCAUUUAUGCUUGCUGACAGGG
rnacentral:lncRNA from 1 species